UUAUCGUAUCAACCGAGACGCAAGGGCUGUCGCCGACCGCAAGGUUGUGCACGCCCGAGCGCUCUCACCCUUAUCCACUUUACACUUGUGCAUCACCGCGUGGUGCCUCCUUUUCAAAGGGGCUCACGUUUUCCAUACAAACACCCCCGAGUUUAGAAUGUCUUUGCGGAUCACACGCAAUCAAUACAACUUUCAACAAUGGAUCUCUUGGCUCUCGCAUCGAUGAAGAACGCAGCGAAAUGCGAUACGUAAUGUGAAUUGCAGAAUUCAGUGAAUCAUCGAAUCUUUGAACGCACCUUGCGCCCCUUGGCAUUCCGAGGGGCACACCCGUUUGAGUGUCGUGACAUCCUCAAACCUUCUCGGUUUGUUGACCGAAGAAGGGUUUGGACUUUGGAGGCAUUAAUGCUGGCUUUAUUUUGAAGCCAGCUCCUCUUAAAUGGAUUAGUGGGGUCCCCUUUGCGGCUCCCUUGGCGUGAUAAGAUGCUUCUACGUCUUGGGACAGGCUCUUGCGACCGCGCUUCUAACCGUCUCAUGAGAGACAUGGACAGAAACCUUGACCUCAAAUCGGGUGAGACUACCCGCUGAACUUAAGCAUAUCAAUAAGCGGAGGAAAAGAAACUAACGAGGAUUCCCCUAGUAACUGCGAGUGAAGCGGGAAAAGCUCAAAUUUAAAAUCUGGUGGUCUUUGGCCAUCC
rnacentral:rRNA from 1 species